UUUUGUUAUAUAUCUUUGUUCCUCAAAUCUCCGAUCCUGAACCUAGCAUCCUCAAUAGUUCCCUUUUUCAUUUUCAGUUCAAGUACUGAUUGAUCAAAUUAGCAACUUAGCCAUCUGACUCUUCACUCUGUCUAUAAAUCAUAAAUGCUUCAAUAUGUUGAUACUUCUCUUUUCCUUAAAGUCUCAUAAGUCAUAAUCAAUCCUUUUUGGUUCUCUUUUUUCUAUAUAAGACACUAACUUUUGUGUCUUUCCCUGCAAAGAUAUGGUUUCCCCUUCACCUUUUGUCUUGUUUUUUAGAAAAGAAAAUUGGGAAGGGGAAGUAGAGGUAGAAAUUUUCCCUUCCAGCCUUUUGCUUAGAUUUGAUCUUCCCUGAACCGUCUUGCUGUUAGCCUGUAUAUUCCUCUCUAGUUGGGAGUGAGCUAAACAACUUCCUUUUCACCUUAACUUUCCAUUUCUCAUUGGAGAUUCUUGACCAUGCCAAGCCAUUACAAGCUUUUGUACGGGAUCUGAUGGGAGAAGAAUUUUCAGGUGGCUGUUUCUAAAAUUUGUGGGAUUCUGGAUGUGUGUGGUGCUUUUGGUCCUGUUUCAUUAUGGCAAGACUAUUGUGGUACAUUAUGGCACUGGAUUUUGAGUGUCUUUUGUCUAAAUUUAGUUUGAAUGUAGUUUACAGUUGUGUCCUUUGGUUACAUUUCGUUUACUGUGUCUUUGAGCUGUUGGAUUACAGAGUUCUUGACAAAGUUAAGUAGCUUUCCUUUAUAUAAGUUACCUUAUUUACUGGCUUUAUGAUUUUUAUGCACUAGUACCAAUAGAAUUUUCGGUGAGUUCAAGCGUCGUUGCUAUUUUUAAUUGCUUUAUUACGGUAUAUGUCAUUUCUGUUGCUAAGGGCACUGGAAGUCUGGAACCAACCAUGCUAUUUCAGAUCCAUUUCGAUUAGUCUGCAGAAUGAGAAAAGAUAGAAGAGGAAGAAGUGAUUUCUCAUUUGUUUUGAUUAUGGCAGCUUGUAUUGUAUUAGAGAUUACAAUUCUUUUUUAUUCUACAUGAUGAACCUGCACCUGAUAUUAGCUUU